rnacentral:rRNA from 1 species
GGGGGACUGGCUCGCCAUCCCCUUCUCUUCCACAGACGCUCACUGCGGCGGCCGCUCUGUUCUUCCACAUACGCGCACCAGGGCGGCGACUCUGGACCGGCGAGAUGUCCACCGACGGCCUCGAGCUCGACGGCGCCGGCCGGUUGGAAUGGUUCUCUCCACCCAGUGGAGUCACAGGAUUCCAUGAGUGCGGCCGAGGUCGAGAUCGACAAGGGCGGCAAAGCACAGCAAGAUGGAGAUGCAGCCAGAUACGAGGUGUGCUCUGAAGCUACGAGUGGCUGGACACGAAGGUUAGUGAGAAAUCCUUUGUGAUUUUUGUGAUUUUACAUCUGUUCAGCAGGGUUUGCAUCGUAACUGUAUCAGUUAGUUGAUUUUGGCUUGCUAGCGCAGCAGUUCAUCCCAAGGGAAGUUUUGUGGCUGGACACGAGUAUUUCGUCUAGCAUGCAGUUUAGUUUCUGUCCAUUUUCGGUGGUACAGAUUCGUUGGAUUAUUUGGAUUUCGGGGAUACAAAUGACAGUGUGAUUAUUCGGAUUUUUGCUCUAUGCCACAGAUAGCAUGUGUGCUAUUAGGGUUGUUGUCCACUAGAAUAAAUAGUUCAUUUUGGUGCAGGUGUAGCCUGUUUGAUUGGUUUUGCUAGUGUUAGUUGGUGUAGUUAGGCACAAACUGGAUAGGCGUGAAGUUAAAAAGAGUAUAAAACAUUUGUCGUACCAUGGAGGGGCCAGAUGCAUGAGCCGUUGAACACUGGAGUUGGGGAAAUUGUUGAUUAUUCGAUUCAGUUUCUGGCUGCAGUGAAAAAGGGAUGGAUUGGUAUUGGAUUCAGUAUCUAGUUUGCGAUGUUUUCAGAUUCAGUUUCUGGCUCAGUAUUGCAUUGGAAGUGGCAUAAUACUUGUUAGUAGAAGUUUUCUCUUGGUGGAUGUAUUUCGACAACAAACUUAGCAAAAAUGUAGGUUGGUCCAUUCUUUUUGCUCACAUUGCCUGGUUUAGGGGAUUUCAGGCAUCCACUGGUUGUGUUUUGUUUGUUGGUUGUUGGAACGAUGGUAUGUUCGUUUAGUUUCAUAUGACAGUGAAUGGACUUCUUGGUUUGGCAUUAACCAUAAGCAUUUUCUAUGUUCUCUGAAGCUAUGAGUGGUUGGACACGAAGGUUAAUUGUAAAACCGUGUGGAACAUCACAUCUUCUAUGUUCUUUACACUUAUGGUUGGUAGUUCAAGUUGUGGUUGUUUGCAUAUAUAGUGAUCUGAAAGCUAAUUGGGUGACAGUUCGAUUUUCAAUAGUUACGGGUGGUGGUUCGAUUUCACCACAUAUGGUGUUAGUUUCCAGAUUUUUUUUAGGUGCAAAGUGGGGUGGGGGGCUUUUUUGAUUUGUAGGUGGAUCGCCUGAGAGCACAACUGAUUUUUUUGGCAAAAAUGAAUUUGAUUUGGUAUUAGCGUUUGCAUUUACAUAAUUGUAUAAGAAUCUGAACAAAUCAGAGUCACUAUCACCAUUUUGUUGUGUGUCUUAGUUUUGUUACUUACCGGACGGUUCGCUCGAGGAAUGUUGAGGCAAACUGAUUGUGCAUAGGUUGUUGUUUUCAGUAAAUUGGCAUGUUUUUUAGAUUACCCUAUUAUCUACCAGAACGAUAUUCAAAAUGGUUGUUCCAUGCAAAGAUUACUUGGCAUGGCAUGCCCUUUAUUCAAUUCCCAGACCGCAUUGACAAAUUUUUGUUUCUAAUAUGUUCUGCCGAGAAACGGUUUCCAGGGAUAGAAUCGGGAAAGCGCCAGAUGAGAGGGAGAUGAACCCUGACAGGAAAACAACGCUUGAAUUGUCUGUUUGCACUUAUGCCGAAGUGCAUAAACUGUGGGGUGGUUGGACAUUGCAGCAAUGCAUGCGGUACUAAAAAGAGCUGACCGUUUGAGCCUAACUUCCUCUAGAUUGAAACUGGCUGUGAUGUUUGAUGCCAUCAAGUCUCCAUGUGGUUGUGUGGUGGUAAUUUCUCUAUUUGGGAUGUCUGAAUUUUAAUUUGUGCUACCAACAGUAAUUCUCCUGAUGUCUGUUAACUUCAUUUGAACAGUUUUGCUGUGUGAUUGCAGUUCUGUUGCUUGGUCAACUAAAAUUUUAGUUUUACUACUGAUGGGGUGGCCUGUUCUUAGUUUUGUCAAAAACUGUGUUGUUUUUGCUGUCGAAGGCAGUAGAGCGUCUGUAAUUCCAGUGCUUGGCUUGUUAGGC